AGCUUUGCGCAGUGGCAGUAUUGUAGCCAGUGAGGUUUAUACGAGGCGCGAUUAUUGGUAAUUAUAUAGACAUAUAUUAUUUAGACAGCCUGAGACAUGUAAGCAUUCAAUGAAUAGCUUGUGCUACUUAUUAUCAACAAUAGUUAAACUUACUUUAUUUUUAAUUUUUUGCAACUUUAAAUUUUGA
rnacentral:snRNA from 1 species